ensembl:lncRNA
CGGCGGCCCCGCGCCAUCUGGACGCCGAGCGCGGGCGCGUUUGAAGUGGUUCGGGGACUCUUUGUUCGCCAGGCCGCUCUGGCUCGGGGCCUGGAGGUGGUUUACGGCCUGGAUGCCUUUGAACCUAUUCCCAGGGGACGAAAGGCUGCAAAUGACCUCGCUCGGCCUUUGGCAGCCCUGGUCUGCAAGAUGUCAUCUUAUGGGGUGUGAGAGGGAAGAGGGCCGCAGCCCUGCCUGCCCCGUCCUUGCUGCGCUUCCCUCUGUGUGUGGGCCUCACUCUGUCUUGGUGCAAGGGGGCCUCCCCCUUCUGCCUGAGGGUGACAGGCAUCACUCUCCAGGGUCGCAUCCCCGUGGGGCGGCAUCGCUGAUUCGACAGUUUUCUCCUCUCGCUUCAGCAUAAAAGAUUGAUGAAGAGCAAGGUGAAGGAGGAGCAGAGAAGAUGAUGAAGAUGCUGGUUACGUUAAUUAAGAAAGAAAACAAGAAACAGAAGCCAGCCUGCCAGCUCUUGUCGCUGGGAAAGUCAUAAAAACGAAGUGGUACAGGACAUAGCCCUUUGUGUCUGGCUUUUCACGCUUAGAGCACUGCCUUUUGGAUCCACCCACACUGUGCGUGCGUGCUGAGUAUUCCGUCGCAGGGGGACACUACAGUCUGUCCAUCCAUCUGUCAGCCGGUGGACGUGGGGGUUGUAUCUGGCUUUUGGUGAUAUGAAUAAAGCUGCGUUUAAGUCCUUUUUCUUCUCUCUCAGGUAAAUACCUAGCAGUGGGGUUCUUGAAUCCUAUGUAAGUAGAUACUUAAGAAGAAACUGGUCAACUGUUUUCCAAAAUGGCAGGACCAUUUUGCAUUCCCACCAACAAUGUAUGAGAUUUCAGCUGUGGAUGACUAUAAACAACAAAAACCCAGAAAAUAGCAAGAGUGGGCAAGGAUGUGGAGACAUUGGAAGUCUCACACCUUGCUGAUCAGGG